rnacentral:rRNA from 1 species
CCUACGGGUGGCAGCAGUGAGGAAUAUUGGUCAAUGGACGAGAGUCUGAACCAGCCAAGUAGCGUGAAGGAUGACUGCCCUCUGGGUUGUAAACUUCUUUUAUAAAGGAAUAAAACGAGGCACGUGUGCCUUUUUGUAUGUACUUUAUGAAUAAGGAUAGGCUCACUCCGUGCCAGCAGCCGCGGUAAUACGGAGGAUCCGAGCGUUAUCCGGAUUUAUUGGGUUUAAAGGGAGCGUAGGUGGGUUGUUAAGUCAGUUGUGAAAGUUUGCGGCUCAACCGUAAAAUUGAAAUUGAGACUGGCAGUCUUGAGUACAGUAGAGGUAGGCGGAAUUCGUGGUGUAGCGGUGAAAUGCUUAGAUAUCACGAAGAACCCCGAUUGCGAAGGCAGCUUACUAAACUGUAACUGACACUGAUGCUCGAAAGUGUGGGUAUCAAACAGGAUUAGAUACCCGAGUAGUC